rnacentral:rRNA from 1 species
UACGGAGGGUGCGAGCGGUAAUCGGAAUUACUGGGCGUAAAGCGUCCGUAGGCGGCUUGUUAAGUCUGAUGUGAAAGCCCUGGGCUUAACCUGGGAACGGCAUUGGAUACUGGCGAGCUAGAGUUCGGUAGAGGGUGGUGGAAUUCCCGGUGUAGCGGUGAAAUGCGUAGAGAUCGGGAGGAACGCCGGUGGCGAAGGCGGCCACCUGGACCGAGACUGACGCUGAGGGACGAAAGCGUGGGAAGCAAACAGG